UACGGAGGGUGCAAGCGUUAUCCGGAUUCACUGGGUUUAAAGGGUGCGUAGGAGGGCAGGUAAGUCAGUGGUGAAAUCUCCGAGCUUAACUUGGAACUGCCGUUGAUACUAUCUGCCUUGAAUAUUGUGGAGGUGAGCGGAAUAUGUCAUGUAGCGGUGAAAUGCUUAGAUAUGACAUAGAACACCAAUUGCGAAGGCAGCUUACUACACAGUUAUUGACACUGAGGCACGAAAGCGUGGGGAUCAAACAGG
rnacentral:rRNA from 1 species